rnacentral:rRNA from 1 species
UACGUAGGGGGCAAGCGUUGUCCGGAUUUAUUGGGCGUAAAGAGCGUGUAGGCGGCCAGACAGGUCAGCUGUGAAAACUCGAGGCUCAACCUCGAGACGUCGGUUGAAACCGUCUGGCUAGAGUCCGGAAGAGGAGAGUGGAAUUCCCGGUGUAGCGGUGAAAUGCGCAGAUAUCAGGAAGAACACCCGUGGCGAAGGCGGCUCUCUGGGACGGUACUGACGCUGAGACGCGAAAGCGUGGGGAGCAAACAGG